rnacentral:lncRNA from 1 species
AUAUGUAUUCAUUUCCUACCACUGUAGUGGAAGAGAGACUAUCCCUGUCUUUACACCCGGUAGCAUUUCCAACAGUAAGCUGUGAGAUUCUGCUUGAAAUCACCUCUCAAACAAAUAAAAAACAGACCUGGGAAAUGUGCUACACUCAUUCUGCUGAAGAAAUUGACAUCAUAGCUGGGGAAACAGGGAUUCAAAAGAUCCAGGCUGUUCCCUACAUAUUUUUCCUCCUCAGACAUCAGUUCAUCAGUCAAUCAAGUCAGGUGAGAGUGGAGGCCAUGUAUUCCUUAUUCUUGGGCACUGUCCUCCAAGGAGGAAGAGGCCAGGAGGUCCUGUUAGAGGAUGCACUCUGAGAGGCCGGGCUCCCUAAGGUGUGAGGGUUCUAACCAGCAGGUGUAGACUUUUCAGGAGUGAGGAAUGAGGCAGGCAUUCCAAACCUGGAGCUUCAUCACCUUUUGUUUCAUCUCAAGACAAUUCUGAGGGGCUGUUUUGGAACGUGUCUGGAAGGUGAACAUUGAAGAAGAGUGGGCUUUGAUGUGACUCAGAUAAGAUC